rnacentral:rRNA from 1 species
GACGGGUGAGUAACGCGUGGGAACAUACCCUUUGGUACGGAAUAGCCUCGGGAAACUGAGAGUAAUACCGUAUGUGCUCGUAAGAGGAAAGAUUUAUCGCCAAAGGAUUGGCCCGCGUUGGAUUAGGUAGUUGGUGGGGUAAUGGCCUACCAAGCCGACGAUCCAUAGCUGGUUUGAGAGGAUGAUCAGCCACACUGGGACUGAGACACGGCCCAGACUCCUACGGGAGGCAGCAGUGGGGAAUCUUAGACAAUGGGGGAAACCCUGAUCUAGCCAUGCCGCGUGAUCGAUGAAGGCCUUAGGGUUGUAAAGAUCUUUCAGAUGGGAAGAUAAUGACGGUACCAUCAGAAGAAGCCCCGGCUAACUCCGUGCCAGCCGCCGCGGUAAUU